CAAUAGCGUAUAUUUAAGUUGUUGCAGUUAAAAAGCUCGUAGUUGGAUUUCGGUUGAGAACGGCCGGUCCGCCGUUUGGUGUGCACUGGCUGGUUUCAACUUCCUGUAGAGGACGCGCUCUGGCUUCACGGCUGGACGCGGAGUCUACGUGGUUACUUUGAAAAAAUUAGAGUGUUCAAAGCGGGCUUACGCUUGAAUAUUUCAGCAUGGAAUAACACUAUAGGACUCCUGUCCUAUUUCGUUGGUCUCGGGACGGGAGUAAUGAUUAAGAGGAACAGUUGGGGGCAUUCGUAUUUCAUUGUCAGAGGUGAAAUUCUUGGAUUUAUGAAAGACGAACUUCUGCGAANGNAUUUGGNAAGGAUGUUUNCAUUA
rnacentral:rRNA from 1 species